GACGAACGCUGGCGGCGUGCCUAAUACAUGCAAGUCGAGCGGACGGAUGGGAGCUUGCUCCCAGACCGUCAGCGGCGGACGGGUGAGUAACACGUGGGCAACCUGCCUGUAAGACUGGGAUAACUCCGGGAAACCGGGGCUAAUACCGGAUAACUCUUUCCCUCACAUGAGGGAAAGCUGAAAGAUGGCAUCUCGCUAUCACUUACAGAUGUGCCCGCGGCGCAUUAGCUAGUUGGUGAGGUAACGGCUCACCAAGGCGACGAUGCGUAGCCGACCUGAGAGGGUGAUCGGCCACACUGGGACUGAGACACGGCCCAGACUCCUACGGGAGGCAGCAGUAGGGAAUCUUCCGCAAUGGACGAAAGUCUGACGGAGCAACGCCGCGUGAGUGAUGAAGGUUUUCGGAUCGUAAAACUCUGUUGUCAGGGAAGAACAAGUACCGGAGUAACUGCCGGUACCUUGACGGUACCUGACCAGAAAGCCACGGCUAACUACGUG
rnacentral:rRNA from 1 species